rnacentral:rRNA from 1 species
GCUACUGCCAUCAGAGUUCGAUUAAGCCAUGUUAGUUAAGGGGACCUUCCUUCGGGGAGGUAACCCGGCAGACGGCUCAGUAACACGUGGACAACUUACCCUUGGGACCGGGAUAACCCCUGGGAAACUGGGGCUAAUACGGGAUAGAGCAUCGGCUGCUGGAAUGCGCGAUGUUCGAAAGCUGAGGCGCCCAAGGAUAGGUCUGCGGCUGAUUAGGUUGUUGUUGAUGUAACGGAUCAACAAGCCCGCGAUCGGUACGGGUUGUGAGAGCAAUAGCCCGGAGAUGUGUUCUGAGAAAAGAACCCAGGUCCUACGGGACGCAUCAGGCGCGUAAACUUUACAAUGUGCGAAAGCGCGAUAAGGGAACUCUGAGUGCCUCCUAAGGAGGCUGUUCAGGUGUCUAAAAAGCAUCUGGAGUAAGGGCUGGGCAAGACCGGUGCCAGCCGCCGCGGUAACACCGGCAGCUCAAGUGGUAGCCAUGCUUAUUGGGUCUAAAGCGUCCGUAGCCGGCUGAGUAAGUUCCUUGGGAAAUUUGACCGCUUAACGGUUAAGCUAUCAGGGAAUACUGCUUGGCUUGGGACCGGGAGAGGUCAGAGGUACUCCAGGGGUAGGGGUGAAAUCUAUUAAUCCUUGGGGGACCACCGGUAGCGAAGGCGUCUGACCAGACCGGGUCCGACGGUGAGGGACGAAGGCUGGGGUCGCGAACCGGAUUAGAUACCCGGGUAGUCCCAGCUGUAAACGAUGCGGGCCAGGUGUUGGCAUUACUGCGAGUGAUGUCAGUGCCAAAGGGAAGCCGUUAAGCCCGCCAUCUGGGGAGUACGGUCGCAAGGCUGAAACUUAAAGAAAUUGGCGGGGGAGCACCACAACGGGUGGAGCCUGCGGUUCAAUUGGAUUCAACGCCGGA